rnacentral:rRNA from 1 species
UACGUAGGUGGCAAGCGUUGUCCGGAUUUACUGGGCGUAAAGGGCGCGUAGGCGGCUUGAUAAGUAGGAGGUGAAAUUCCAUGGCUCAACCAUGGAUCGGCCUUCUAGACUGUCAGGCUUGAGCACGGUAGAGGCAGAUGGAAUUCCCGGUGUAGCGGUGGAAUGCGUAGAGAUCGGGAAGAACACCAGUGGCGAAGGCGGUCUGCUGGGCCGUUGCUGACGCUGAGGCGCGACAGCGUGGGGAGCAAACAGG